UUUGCGAACUUGGUCUCUUUUCAGGAACCUCCUGCCUCAUCCACAGCAUGAUGACCCCUCAUACUGGUGGUUUCACUUCCAGAUCCUCAACAGACACUGCAUACAGCCCACAGUCUACACCUGCUCAUGUUGGUACCUCAGCUCCAGGGCCCUUCCUCUGGCCUGGCCAGGCCCUUCUCACUGUAAGUUUGAUGGGAGCUGGAGCUGUGUAUCCCUUGCCCUUAUUAAUGUAGCACCUAUACGCUGUCUACUACCCGGUAAUUGCUCCUAGCUCAAAGUAUGAAAGGAGACAAUCUCCCAGGAGCUCAAAGAACUACAAGGGCGAUUCCCUCCACCUCUGACAGGCUGAGACCACAGAACUAUACCGUCUACUACAGUGGCCAGGACGGAAUGAGCGCUUAAAAUGUGGCUGGUUGGAAUUGCCAUGUGCUGUAAGCGUAAGACAGGCACCAGAUAUCAAAUGUUUAGCCUGAGAAAAAGAAUGUAAAAUAUCUGAUUAGUAAUUUUUGUCUUGAUUACAUGUUGAAAUGAUAGUAUUCUGGGCAC